ACAUUUUCAUUACUUCCUUCCAUUUUAGACAUGCAUUUGCUGUGGCUGCAUUUAUUUUUCCAUUUAUUCAUCUUAAUCAAUGCAUACGGUAAGGUAUUUGCUUUUAUAUUUUUUUCCUAGUGCGUAAUAUUUCAAUUUUAUUUGAAAUUAGGAGUUAUUCAGUCUAUCUUUGUUUUGAAGUUUAAGGAUAUAAUUUUAUUCAAAAUAAAUAGCAGUUGGAGUCAACAUUUUUAGCAAAUAUACAGUAACACUUGCAUUAAUGUCAAAGGCAUUUUAAACCCUACACAUUUGAUAUACUCAUUAGAUAACUGCCUAAUCAUAACUGUUGCCAUUGAUUUACUUGUUAUAUUAUGACACAGACAGGAAGCUAACUCUACAUUCCUUUUAAGAAAAAUAAUGAUUUAAUGAUGUUUUAAGAACCUUUUUUCGUAUGUGUGAAAUGGCUUUGACUCUCAGUGCAUAAUGUGAACAUGUUUUGGGAAUGCUUUAAUCAAUUGAGGCUUGUAUGCAGACAUCAUAAAAAAGAAUUAAGACAACUUCCUGUAAAAAACCAUCCUUGAUGUUUCAUUAAAAUAGAAAGGCUCACAAAUAGAUGCAUAUGAUUUAAAUUUGAUUCUGUAAAAUUUCAUAUUUUGUUCAAUUAAAACGAUAGUGUAAAAAUUGCAUCGUAUUAAAAAAAAGAAAGAGAG
rnacentral:misc_RNA from 1 species